UUCACCUAUUUCGUUUUUCGGUUUUUUUUUUUUUUUUUUUUUAUCUGAACGAAAUUUUUGGUUUGUUAUUUGGAUCUGUGGGUUUCUCGGUUGAAUCUAUUGUUUGUUGGAUGUCCCUCACAUCGUCGCUCACAUCCGCAGCAAAUGGCCACCCGUGGAAGCGCACGACCACGCCAGAAGCACACAACAACAAACCAGAAGAUGAAAUUUCAGAAGAUUGAAUUUGUAUAUGAUGCGUUAAAUUUUUUUGUUCGGUGUACUCUCUGUAAAUAAUAAAGAUGUAAAUAUGCAAACAUAGUUUUUAUC